UAGAAUCGGUCUCCUGAGAAAACACACGGCCAUAUAACUCAUCAUAAACUUGAGCUAGAAGACCUUCAAUGGUUGUGAAUCGUCCACCCAAAGUACCUGGGAACAAAUCAAGUCCAAGUUCAGGAAUUUUAAGAGAUGCGGUUUCAGAUUUGAGAAUAUCACGGGAUAAGUCCUCGGCAUCCAUGACCUUUAAAGUAAUUUUUCGACCUUUGGGUGGAAUUUCACCACCAGUUUUUACUUCGUUGGAACGAUAUCCACAACGAUCACAAACAGUAGACAUGAUAAUAACUUCUUUGAAAUGGGGAAUAUCAAGCAACUUCAUGUGGGUGUCACAUUGAUGUGAACAAGAGGGACAAGUUGCAUGGAAGGUAUGUACCUCAUUGGGAUCGACUUCCACAGCAGUAGCAUCAUGUUUAAGUGUAUUAGAAGCGUUGUUUGUUUGUGUCUUGACGUCUUCAGGUUGAUCAGUAUCCACAAGACCCAGCUUCGUAUUCUGCUCCAAAGUACGCUUGUAGCUAACCUGAGACCAUCGGUCACCAUCUCGGCCAGGUUUCAUCUCGAUCCAGCUGUUGCCCGUAAUAUCGUCAACUGUGAUGGUAAAUGGUACAGAUCCAGAACGUAGACUAUUCACUUUCUCAAUGAAAGCAUUUAUUUGGUCAUAUAACUGAGGAGCAGACUCCUUACGAGAUUCUUGUUCUUUACUUAAAUCAUCCACCACAUUACUCAGAAUCCCCUCAAUGGUAGUUAACUGGCCUAACCUUCCCGGGAUUUCUAGCUGAAUUUCAGGAAUAC